rnacentral:rRNA from 1 species
AUACGGAGGGUGCAAGCGUUAAUCGGAAUUACUGGGCGUAAAGCGCGCGUAGGCGGUAAGAUUAGUUGGAUGUGAAAGCCCAGGGCUAAACCUUGGAACCGCAUCCAAUACUGUCUUACUAGAGUGUGAUAGAGGGGGGUGGAAUUUCUAGUGUAGCGGUGAAAUGCGUAGAUAUUAGAAGGAACAUCAGUGGCGAAGGCGGCCCCCUGGAUUAACACUGACGCUGAGGUGCGAAAGCGUGGGUAGCGAACAGGAUUAGAAACCCUAGUAGUCC